rnacentral:lncRNA from 1 species
GCCACAUGCCAGAAGUCCCGGGAUCAGUGGAGGAUGACCAACGGGUCUUAGACUCGGCCGAUCAGAUCAGGCGAUGAGCGAUUGCGGCCAUUAAUGCCCUUCUAGGAUGAUCUAUAAAAGCACUGGUCAUUUUGUAAGAACAUUAAUACCUUUUGACCGUUUGGCGCCCGAACUCAAUCUCGACCCGUCCUUUGUGGCGC